UACGUAGGGGGCAAGCGUUGUCCGGAAUCAUUGGGCGUAAAGAGCGUGUAGGCGGCUCGAUAAGUCCGUUCUGAAAGUCCAGGGCUCAACCCUGGGAUGCGGAUGGAUACUGGCGGGCUCGAGUCCGGAAGAGGCGAGUGGAAUUCCCGGUGUAGCGGUGAAAUGCGCAGAUAUCGGGAGGAACACCAAUGGCGAAGGCAGCUCGCUGGGACGUGACUGACGCUGAGACGCGAAAGCGUGGGGAGCAAACAGG
rnacentral:rRNA from 1 species